rnacentral:rRNA from 1 species
UUACUCUUACGGGAGGCAGCAGUGGGGAAUUUUGGCCAAUGGGCGCAAGCCUGAUCCAGCAAUGCCGCGUGCAGGAAGAAGGCCUUCGGGUUGUAAACUGCUUUUGUACGGGAAGAAAAGGCUCUGGCUAAUACCUGAGCUCAUGACGUACU